GGCGGCUCUCUGGUCUGCAACUGACGCUGAGGCUCGAAAGCAUGGGUAGCGAACAGGAUUAGAUACCCUGGUAGUCCAUGCCGUAAACGAUGAGCGCUAGGUGUUGGGGACUUUCCAGUCCUCAGUGCCGCAGCAAACGCAUUAAGCGCUCCGCCUGGGGAGUACGACCGCAAGGUUGAAACUCAAAGGAAUUGACGGGGGCCCGCACAAGCGGUGGAGCAUGUGGUUUAAUUCGAAGCAACGCGAAGAACCUUACCAGGUCUUGACAUCCUGCGCUACACCUAGAGAUAGGUGGUUCCCUUCGGGGACGCAGAGACAGGUGGUGCAUGGCUGUCGUCAGCUCGUGUCGUGAGAUGUUGGGUUAAGUCCCGCAACGAGCGCAACCCUUGUCUUUAGUUGCCAUCAUUAAGUUGGGCACUCUAAAGAGACUGCCGGUGACAAACCGGAGGAAGGUGGGGAUGACGUCAAGUCAUCAUGCCCCUUAUGACCUGGGCUACACACGUGCUACAAUGGGCAGUACAACGAGAAGCAAACCCGCGAGGGUAAGCGGAUCUCUUAAAGCUGUUCUCAGUUCGGACUGCAGGCUGCAACUCGCCUGCACGAAGCUGGAAUCGCUAGUAAUCGCGGAUCAGCACGCCGCGGUGAAUACGUUCCCGGGCCUUGUACACACCGCCCGUCACACCAUGGAAGUCUGCAAUGCCCAAAGUCGGUGGG
rnacentral:rRNA from 1 species